AGCCCUGCCGGGGGCUAUUGGUCGCCCCGAGGAAGGAGCCGGGAUGGCAAGCGGGAUCCUAUCAUCAGGCUGCAUAAUAACCCCGGGCUCGCCACAGCUGCGCUGUGACCCUUUGUGAUGGAGCUGAUAGCGCUCCCGUGAAAUAAUGUCCUCCUUUUGGGUGUGAAAUCACCAUGUUUAUUAAUUGAGCUAGACAUGAGGGUUACCUUUUUCUUUCCAAGCCAUGAAAAUUUGUGAUUCAGGGCAAAUGGUUCCCCCUUCCCACUCAAGUUGUGUUGCCAAGGGGUUGAGAGAGAAGGACCAGCUGGGGAGAAGAGCUAUUUUGGAAGGUCGAGAGAGACUGAGCUCUACGGCAAGUUCAGAGUAGAUUCAUGCGCAGACACCCCACACCUCGCUCAACCGCAAAAGCAGUCCCCAGGCAAGCACCGCGGGGAAAUACCAAACUCAUUCCCAAAGGAUGGAAGCCGGGGUGGGGAGGGAUGCGCCCCUCGUAGCCUGCCCUGGCCGUCCCGCGUGGGGAUGCGCGGCGCCCCACGCCGCGGUUACCGCGCAGCCCCACGCACGCACUUUAGGAGGUGGGCCGUGCCGAAAGAGUACGGCGACUGUCUCCACACGCACUUUCCUUUCUUUUUUGGUUUGUGGUUUGUUUUUUUUUUUUUUUUUUUUUUUUGCUUUGCAAUUAGGCUUGUAACGAGCUUAUUGCAGUAUGUUCUUCUGGGCCAAUAAUACUUGUAUUUAACCUAAUUAAAGACGACCUUUUAAAAUAUCUGAAAUACAAACACGCCUUUUUUUUUUUUUUUUUUUUUUUUUUUUUCUUUUCCCUCUCCCCCCUCCUUUCCUACUCUGGUUUAACAAUUUAACGUUUGACUCUCCGGGCUGGAACACGCAACCUUUCACCAGAGCACGAUGAGAGAGAGGGAGGCGGAAAGUAGCAAAAACCUGCGAAUGAGGCGGAGGGACUGGCUUUUCCCAAGCGUCCGCGACACGCUUCCAGACAGAGCAACCCCAGCCCGGUACUGCUCGGCGGCCCUUUUGUUCCCGGUGGGGAGACCCGGUCUGGCUCGGCUCGGCCCGCCGGGGCUGCGGGGAGCCCGGUCCUCCCCUCCCUCCUCUCGCCGGAGCGGGGACGUGAUAAAAGGAGACAGGGCUCUGAAAGGAUUUGAUUGAAAUGGCGUGUGCCAAGCUGAUGGGAGCCAGCGAGGGACAAAGCGCCGAGGAGCUAUGGACACUCGAGCAAUUAUUCCUCCACGCUGAAGGUGGAUUAGUGCAAUGGAAAGAAGCAUAUGUUCGGCCUGGGGCGACACUCCCCCUGGCUGGGUUUAGAGAAUGAGAGCGGAGAAAGAGGCUGAACCUGGAAUAUCAACUAUCCGGGAGACAGCCCACCCCACCCCCUCUUAUCCCAGCCUCUCCAAAAGUCUCAGGGAUGGAGACAUAAAUAUACACGCCCAUAAAGAUGAAUAGAUAGAUACAAACAAACACACAAACACCCAAAAAUACAGAUGCACACGCACCUCUAGGUACAGCCACACACGCGCACACGGCGCUGCACACCGGCUCUGCACAGAUAGGCGGGAGCAAGAGGCGCCCUAGGUGGAAAACCUCCCCGGGUAUGACAAUGCGAACAAAUAAACAGUUGGCCUCCAAGAAGGUCAUAGCAGCAGCCAGUUCUGCUGGAGGCUCCAGUUUCCCCAGACCUUUCCCAGGAAACUUUCCAAAAGCAGCUGCAGCAAGGAAUGGGGUGAUCUCCAUAACCCCCUACCGGGACCAUGUCCAGGCCCUCCUGGAAACACAAAGCAAAACCUCAAUCGCCCUUUUUCCACCUGAUUUUCUUCUAAGCCACAGCCACCUCCUGUUCUCUUUCCCUAGCUCCCUGCAAAACCCCAUCCUUUCCAGCAGGAUAGCUGCAAGUUCUCUCAAGGGCAUUAGGAUGGGAAGAAGCCCCAGCAGCCAGCCUGCCAGCAGCCAGCCUGCCAGCCCCCAUCCCAAACACCAGCAUGCCAGGAACAGCCUGCAUCAAGGCUCCGUGGCAAUGGGACACCCAUCAACUGCUGUCCUGGAUCAUCUACACCCAUACACAGGCUCCAAAACUCAGGCAGGCACAGCAGGAGCACAUUUUUAGCACUAAUACAGUGUAGCUUGUUAGGCCUAAUGAGGAAAAAGAGCACUGAGGCCAGGCACAGCCCCUGCUUUCCUCCCAGCACUGCCCCACUGGCCUCCCCCUGCCUGGGCGCACCAGCACGUGAUGCAGUGUGGGGUGUCUCCCCAGCUGUUGUCCAAGCCAUCCCGCUUGCAGGGCAGAGAGAUAAACUCCACCACAAGAGAGGAGGAGACAGGACAAGCACAGGGAGCAGCAUCAGAGGGCAAGGAGGACAAGCUGGAGGGAAGGGCGCCUCCAGCAAACUUUAAAAGGAGGGAGGGAGAUAGAAGGAAGAGAAGGGAAUACAGCUCUUUCCUUCUCCUGGGAGCCCUGAAAAAUGCUCUGCUCUACAACCAGAAACAUGCCCCAAAUAUUUCACAUCGCCACUUCUUUAUCCUUAGCUUUGGGGAUCAGGAUGGACCAUACACAGAGAAAAGGGGGCCAGCUCUGACCAAAGCAGUGCUGAGGCAGGAAGUUCUGCAGGAUGAACAAGCAGGUAGGAACAUAACCAAAAACGCUGUACAGAAGCAAUAUACAUCCCUCAACCUGCGAGUGUAACUGCACAGCUCACACUCCCGCUAGAAAGCAACUCUCUAUUCAGAGCCCCUGCAUCUGCUUUCAAUCAAGUAUUACAAAGGGAAUUAACUAUACCACAGGCAGCAACAGCAGUGGGGCUUGAGAGCAUCUCUGGACAGAAAAGGUCUUCAUGUAGAGGCUGCAGAUCUCCUACAGAAAAUAGGAUGUGUGUGUGUGUGCACAACAUGCUCAAGGAACAACGUGGUGAAAUGGCUUGCACUUCACACCCAACAGUCCUCCACCCUCCUGCUGAGCACAAGACAAUUUCUUCCUCACCUAGGCUUUCCCAGUUUCCCCUCCUUGCCCUUGUUUGAAGAUCCUCUGUGCAAAUGAGCUCUGUGACUACAAACAGGACAAUAACCAUGGAGCUUAGAGUAACCUCAGGGCCCUAGUUUUGAGAGGGAGGGACUCAUGGGGAAACCACAGGCUUUAGGUGCCAGCAUGUGCCUUGCAAAAUCAGAGCCUGAAAGAAAAGUGCCACAGGGAAACAGCGGGUCCCUCCUACACUACCAGAAAGCUCUCGAUAGUCUUAUCCUGAUUUCCACACUACAUUCACUCAGUGAAGAUGCUCUAAUCGCUCUAUUGGUAUGAUAAAAAUUUUGGGCCACCAAAGUUGAACUCAGCAUCAGAGAGACAUGACUACAGUGGUUGUAAGAGGGAAUAAAAGACAGAUUUGUCACCUUCAUAUCUACAUCACCAGAAAGAAGUAACAGUUCAAGAAUACAAAUAUUCUACAAAUAGCCACCAUAAGCUAUAUGUCUGUUUACCCUGCCUGAAAUAUCAGCUGUUUCAUCCACCCAAGAAAGCCUAGGAACAUUAACUAGAAGAAGAAAAACAAGGCUAUUUUGCUAUUCUGAAGCCAGUAAAGCUCUGCUAGUAAUGGGUCAUAAAAGACUUUCACUUUUCCUCUGUUUCCAAAUGCUUGCUUUAAACUACUUCUUUUCGGGACUCUGGGGUUACUAAACUGAAUACUGCAAGUGGAGAGGUUGCAGCCUAUGCAGAAUAAAUGAUUUAAGAACUGG